rnacentral:rRNA from 1 species
UUGCAACCUACCUCUAACUGGAGGAUAGCCCGAAGAAAUUCGGAUUAAUAUUCCAUAAAGUCAAUUUAAGGCAUCUUUUAUUGAUUAAAGCUCCGGCGGUUAGAGAUGGGCAUGCGUGUCAUUAGCUAGUUGGUGAGGUAACGGCUCACCAAGGCCACGAUGACUAGGGGGUCUGAGAGGAUGAUCCCCCACACUGGUACUGAGACACGGACCAGACUCCUACGGGAGGCAGCAGUGAGGAAUAUUGGGCAAUGGACGCAAGUCUGACCCAGCCAUGCCGCGUGCAGGAUGACUGCCCUAUGGGUUGUAAACUGCUUUUGUUUGGGAAGAAACCCCCGAUCGUGAUCGGGGCUGACGGUACCAUACGAAUAAGCAUCGGCUAACUCCGUGCCAGCAGCCGCGGUAAUACGGAGGAUGCAAGCGUUAUCCGGAUUCAUUGGGUUUAAAGGGUGCGCAGGCGGAAUAUUAAGUCAGUGGUGAAAUCCUGCAGCUUAACUGUAGAACUGCCAUUGAUACUGAUAUUCUUGAAUAUAGUUGAGGUGGGCGGAAUGUGUAAUGUAGCGGUGAAAUGCUUAGAUAUUACACAGAACACCAAUUGCGAAGGCAGCUCACUAAACUAAUAUUGACGCUGAGGCACGAAAGCGUGGGUAGCAAACAGGAUUAGAUACCCUGGUAGUCCACGCUGUAAACUAUGAUCACUCGCUGUUGGCAAUACAUCGUCAGCGGCUGAGCGAAAGCAUUAAGUGAUCCACCUGGGGAGUACGGUAUCAUGAUUUAAACUCAAAGGAAUUGUCGGGGGCCCGCACAAGCGGAGGAACAUGUGGUUUAAUUCGAUGAUACGCGAGGAACCUUACCUGGGGUUAAAUGCAGAGCGACGUCCGCCGAAAGGUGGAUUCCUUCGGGCGAUCUGCAAGGUGCUGCAUGGUAGUCGUCAGCUCGUGCCGUGAGGUGUCGGGUUAAGUCCCAUAACGAGCGCAACCGUUAUCGUUAGUUGCUACCGGGUAAUGCCGGGGACUCUAACGAAACUGCCGGUGUAAACUCGUGAGGAAGGUGGGGAUGACGUCAAAUCAGCACGGCCCUUAUGUCCAGGGCUACACACCGUGUUACAAUGGUCGGUACAGAGGGCAGCUACCACGCGAGUGGAUGCUAAUCUCGAAAA